GGGUGGUUGGUCAGGGUGGAUGGUCAGGGUGGGUGGUCAGGGUGGAUGGUCAGGGUGGAUGGUGAGGGUGUUUGGUCAGGGUGGGUGGUCAGGGUGGAUGGUCAGGGUGGGUGGUCAGGGUGGAUGGGUAGGGUGGUCAGGGUGGAUGGUCAGGAUGGAUGGUCAGGGUGGUUGGUCAGGGUGGGUGGUCAGGGUGGAUAGGGUGGGUGGUUGGUCAGGGUGGGUGGUCAGGGUGGGUGGUCAGGGUGGAUGGGCAGGGUCAGGGUGGAUGGUCAGGGUGGUUGGUCAGGGUGGGUGGU
ensembl:lncRNA